CACUGAGCAAGGGCAGGGACCGAACCCGCAACCUCAUGGUUCCUAGUCGGCUUCGUUAACCACUGCGCCACGACGGGAACUCCUGAUUUAUCAAAUUUAUGUGUACUUCUGUUAGUCUCAUUACAGCUUCUGCCCCUGGGAGUGACUGAUGCCGUGCUGGGCUUCAAGCUGCAACUCUCCUGGAUGCAGAGGUCUGGCUGAGGAUGUUAAGAAACUAAAGGAAAUUCUUUUUGCUUCAGGCUGCAGACACUAAGCAGCUUUGAUGCUGAGACUGGGGCCAGUCCUGGAGCUGAAAAUAUCACUAACCAUGUCCCCACCUGGCAGAUUCACCUGUUUGAUUUGAAUGAUUAAGGCUACACACCUGAAGGACCAUCAUUCCUCCCUACAUCUGUCCCAGAACCAUCCGCUCAACUUCCCAGGCUUAGAAAACAGGUGUCCCUCUUCUCUAAGGACCAGAAGAAAUUGUUAA
rnacentral:lncRNA from 9 species